UGCCUACGCAAGUAGAGAGGAAGGCGGGGACGACGUCAAGUCAUCAUGGCCCUUACGUCCGGGGCUACACACGUGCUACAAUGGAUGGUACAGAGGGCUGCGACCUAGUAAUAGGAAGCCAAUCUCAAAAAGCCAUUCACAGUUCGGAUUGAGGUCUGCAACUCGACCUCAUGAAGUUGGAUUCGCUAGUAAUCGCGUAUCAGCAAUGACGCGGUGAAUACGUUC
rnacentral:rRNA from 1 species